UACAAAAGGUGCGAGCGUUAUUCAUAUUUAUUGGGCGUAAAGGGUAUGUAGGCGGACCAGAAAAUUUUGCUAAAAAACCUGGAGUUGUAACUUCAGCAGCAAGCUUUUAGAUUACUGGUUCAAGAGUUAACAUCGGGUCGGAGGAACUUCCAGCGGAAAAGUAGAAUUUCGCUAUUCUGGAAGGAACGCCGAAGGUGAAGACAUCCCUCUAGAGUUAACUGUCGCUGAGGUACGGAAGCGUAGGGAGCAAACAGG
rnacentral:rRNA from 1 species